AAAGCUUCUCUUUGUAAAACUUCUUGGGUUUCCACUUUUGGUAGCUCUAAAGUAUUUCAGUAUGUGGGAGAUUACGAGUACAUAGAAGUGAUGAUGAACAAUAAAAGUGGCAAGCCAACAAGAAUUAUAGUAGAUAUGGAAUUCAGGUCUCAGUUUGAGGUGGCAAGGCCUACACAGACCUAUAAAGAACUCAUCACAACUCUUCCUUCAAUCUUUGUUGCCACUGAAGUUACACUUAACAAGAUAAUCUCUCUCGUAUGUUCAGCUGCAAAAGAAUCACUUAAAGAAAAGGGUCUCCAUAUUCCUCCAUGGAGAAAAGCUAAGUACAUGCAAUUAAAAUGGUUCUCCAAGAACUGCAAAAAAGUCUCUGUCUCCCCCAACACUGAAAUGGGUUUGCAGGAAAGUUUAGAGAAAGGUACCAUUACUACUUCUACUGCUACUACUACAUGUUGUCCUUCCAUAUUUCAGCUGAGGGGCAACUGCAAUUAGAGAACAGAGAUAGAGAAAGAGAUUACGGGUUCUGGGCAGUCCAAGGCCAAU
rnacentral:misc_RNA from 1 species